CAUGUUGGAAAAGGCGGCUUUUAUAGGCAGGCCCACUCGCAGACGCCAGCACACCUGCACACAAUAAGGGGUAAUGACAGGUAGAGAGAAUGCAGGUAGAGGGUGAGACUAGAACAGCCAAGUACACUCUUAGAAAAAAGGGUGCUUGUGGGUGCUAUAUAGAACCAUAGGGGUUCUUUGCCAAGGAAAUAGAACCUUUUGCCUAAAAAGGGUGCUAUUUCUCGCACGUGCGGUUUAAUUUGAACUUCAACGAACCUUUCUGAAGCCUUCCAUUCUGCCCGGCUUUUUAACGGAGACAUGGUUGACAGUUGGACCAUCCAUGAGGUCUGUUUGUGGCUGGAGCAGAGUACCUUAAGUGAAGCAAAGCAAAUCUUCCAAGGUAACAGAUCUUGCCCUUGGCAAUAAUGGAACAUUUCUUCAGAUGUGGGUUUUGCCGUGUAGUUAAGUUCACUAUCCAAAAAUACCUGAGCCAUUUGCUAUUGACACACCAGCAUCAACCAAAUUUUUCUGCAUCAUGUGUGGUUGAACAGUGCAGGAAGAAAUACAAAAGUGUUGGAUCAUUAAGAAUUCACAUUUACAGAAACCAUCGUUGUUAUUUACAAAACAACCCUGUGCCUCGUGCAGAUAAUUUUGAACCUGAGUCUGAGUCUGAGUCUGAGUCUGAUGCCGAUGCAGUUCAAGAUGAGGAUUUAGAAGAAGAGCCUGUGAUUGGUGACAGUUUAGAUAUUCUUCUGUCUGGAUUGAAAAAACAUGUUGCUCUCUUCAUACUCAAUCUCCAGGAAAAACAUCUCCUUCCUAAAUCAACCCAAGAUACCAUUGUUACAGAUCUAAAAUGUAUUUUAAAUUUUUUCCAAGAACAUUACUCAGAUAUUGUGAAAUUCCAUCUGCAUCAAUCUGGCUUUGUUAUUGAGGAAAAUGAAGAAUUGGACAGUCUUCUGUUGGACACAACAGUAUUUGAUCGGACAUUUGAAUUUGUGCAGUCUGAAUACAUGUUACUGCAAUAUGCAUCAACCAAUCUUGGGAUGGUAUCUCCUGUACAGCAUGUGUUGGGAGUGAAUGAAAGGGGGUUGCCUGACACUUUUCAGUAUGUUCCCAUUGAGGCUCUGUUGAAAGUCAUUUUGGGGAAAGAUGACAUCUUUAAUAACAUUGCACAUGGUAGAAUCCAUGAAGAAGGCUUUAUAAGCUACUUCACCGACGGAGAGAUUUUUCAGAAAUUCCCUUUCAAUGGUGAUGAAAACAUAAUUAGGCUUCAUUUUUACACAGACGAAUAUGAAAUUGUAAACCCCCUUGGAUCCAAAAAGGCGAUUCACAAAAUCUGUGCAUUCUAUUUUUCUAUUGGAAACAUUGAGCCAAAGUACAGGACACAACUUCGACACAUUCAUCUGUCAAUACUUGUGAGAAAUCAGCUUCUGAAAAGAUAUACAUACACUGAUAUCUUGAAUCCACUGGUUACAGACCUUCAAAGGCUUUACAGAGAUGGUUUCACAGUCAGCCAUGAUGGGGAAUUUGUUCAUGUACGUGCAGUCCUAGCUACAGUGUCAGCAGAUAAUCUCUCAGCCCAUAAACUUGCAGGGUUUUCUUGUAGUUUUAGCCACGGGCGUGUGUGUCGUUUUUGCAUGAUUGACCAUUCAGACAUAGCCAAAAAACUAUCAGAAGAGGAAGUUACUAUCAGAUCACCUGAAGUCCAUAGUUACCACCUUGAGGCUCUUAGGGAAAAUCCUGGCAUUUCAAAACGAACAUAUGGUGUUGUCAGUGAUUGUCCUUUCCAUGCCCUGGAGUAUUUUGAUGUCACGUCAUGUUUUCCACCUGAUGUAAUGCAUGACAUUUUAGAAGGUGCUGUUCCUCAAGUGCUGUCACAACUUUUUUUAGCCUUACAUAAAAACAAAAUUAUCUCAUUGGAAAACAUCUGUAAUGAGAUUGAAGCAUUUCAAUUUGGGCAAAAUGAUAAAGGAAACAAACCACAAAAAAUAAACAUAACCUCAAUCAGAAGUGGGCGCUUGCCAGGUUCUGCAAGUGAAAGAUGGUGCCUUUUUCGCCUUUUGCCUUUCAUUAUUGGCCAUCACAUUCCAGUGGGAAAUCCACACUGGGAGCUCUAUCUUUUGUGCAGAGAUGUUGCAGAUAUAAUCCUUUCUCCAUCAAUCAAGCAGAGCAUUCUCCAUUACCUUGCCAUUCAGAUUGGACACUUCCUGUCUUUAUUCAGUUCUCUGUUUCCUGGAAAAGUCACCCCAAAAUUGCAUUAUCUAAUUCACUACCCAAGACUAAUUGAAAAAUGUGGACCCUUAAGACACCUAUGGUGUAUGAGAUUUGAAGGAAAGCACCAGUAUUUCAAGAGGCUGGCCCGAAAUGCUUUCAAUUUUAAAAACAUCUGUCUCACACUGGCCAAACGUCACCAACUUAGACAGUGCUGGGAGUUAACUUCAGUGGAUGUACUCAGGCAGGAUGAGUAUACUGAGAGGGGAUGUUCUUGUUCGGUGAGGUCUCUGUCACAAGAAAUUCGAUUGGGCCUUACACAGAGAUUUGGCGCAGAAAAUAUUGAAUUGGAGGAGGAUGUUUUGGUGGUCCAGAAGCUUUGCCUUGACAAUGUUUUGUAUUCCAUCAACAACAUUUUAGUGUUAGAUGUGAUUGAAGAGGACAUCCCUGUUUUCAUAAAAAUAAGGAAGGUACUCCGCUUCAGAGGCAGUUGGCUUUUGUUUUCGCAACUUUUUAUCCCCUCUCAGUACAAUUAUCACCUGCAUGCUUUUGAGGUGAAAGAUGAUGGAGGUCAAUGGAUUAUCAUCCAACCUGGUGAAGAGCAUGAUUAUCAUUCCCUUGAUCUCUAUCACCUUGAUGAUAAUACUGCCAUUAGCCUUCACCAUGCUGUAUAUAAAAGAUGAAGAAAUCAAUGGAGAAACACUGUUGGGCUUGACAGAUUUAUAUCAGAAUUGGAAAAAUUAAAAAAUGGCCAUCCUCCAACACGAAAUGACAAUCUUGCAGUACCCCCACCAACCCAAACUACUCCGACUCCAAUCCCCACAACAACAGCCUGGCCUGCUUUAUAUACCCUCCCAGUAUUCAGCCCAGAGGUCAGAGAGGCACUAGUUAAAAAAGACCCUGCGUUUUACAAGAAAGACAAGUCACAUCUUCGCACAGCUCUGAUUACCCUCAUUUUUGAUGACAUGACACGUUAUACAUGGUAUCCAAGCCAUAAAAUGUAUAGCGAUGUCCUGGGAGCACUUAUAACCCGGUAUCCAUUUCUCAGGGAUGGAAGCCUCUCUGGAUUUGAAACCCUUUUGGAGUGCCUAAAAAAUAAAUUCAAAAAAGAGCGGAGAACCCUUGUACACAUGGACAAAGUCCUAGAGAUGAAGCAGAAAUAUGGGCAAAAACAUCCAUCAACAACAACAGGGUUGACAAGACCAAGCCCCAAUAGGAAACGACAACUCUCAACCGAACCAGUGGAAGCGGAGGAUACUCAAAGUAUUGCUGAACACUUGAAAGCCAUCACUGAAGAGCUACACAAAAGCAGGCCAAAUUUUGAGAACAUCAAGUGGAGGAUGGAAAGGACUCUGCAUGCACGAAC